GACGAACGCUGGCGGCGUGCUUAACACAUGCAAGUCGAACGGAAAGGCCCCUUUGGGGGUCCUCGAGUGGCGAACGGGUGAGUAACACGUGAGUAACCUGCCCUUGACUUCGGGAUAACUUCAGGAAACUGGGGCUAAUACCGGAUAGGAAUCCUUGCUGCAUGGUGGGGGUUGGAAAGCUUCGGCGGUUUUGGAUGGACUCGCGGCUUAUCAGCUUGUUGGUGGGGUAGUGGCUUACCAAGGCUUUGACGGGUAGCCGGCCUGAGAGGGCGACCGGCCACAGUGGGACUGAGAUACGGCCCAGACUCCUACGGGAGGCAGCAGUGGGGAAUAUUGCACAAUGGGCGGAAGCCUGAUGCAGCAACGCCGCGUGCGGGAUGACGGCCUUCGGGUUGUAAACCGCUUUCAGCAGGGGCGAAGCUUGUGGUGACGGUACCUGCAGAAGAAGCACCGGCUAGCUACGUG
rnacentral:rRNA from 1 species